rnacentral:rRNA from 1 species
GAUGAACGCUGGCGGCGUGCCUAACACAUGCAAGUCGAGCGUGAACCCUUAGAAUGAAACUUCGGUCGAAUGAAGAGGGGGAAAGCGGCGGACGGGUGAGUAACGCGUAGGCAACCUGCCCCGUACAGAGGGAUAGCCUCGGGAAACCGGGAUUAAAACCUCAUAAUACCAUGGUAUCACAUGAUGCAAUGGUCAAAGAUUUAUCGGUAUGGGAUGGGCCUGCGUCUGAUUAGCUGGUUGGUGGGGUAACGGCCUACCAAGGCAACGAUCAGUAGCCGACCUGAGAGGGUAAUCGGCCACAUUGGAACUGAGACACGGUCCAAACUCCUACGGGAGGCAGCAGUGGGGAAUAUUGCACAAUGGGCGAAAGCCUGAUGCAGCAACGCCGCGUGAGCGAAGAAGGCCUUUGGGUCGUAAAGCUCUGUCGGGAAGGAAGAUAAUGACGGUACUUCCCGAGGAAGCCCCGGCUAACUACGUG